rnacentral:rRNA from 1 species
UACAGAGGUCCCAAGCGUUGUUCGGAUUCACUGGGCGUAAAGGGUGCGUAGGCGGUCGGCUAAGUCUGAUGUGAAAGCUCGGAGCUCAACUCCGAAAUGGCAUUGGAAACUGGUUGGCUGGAGGUUGGGAGGGGGGACUGGAAUUCUCGGUGUAGCAGUGAAAUGCGUAGAUAUCGAGAGGAACACCAGUGGCGAAGGCGAGUCCCUGGACCAAUCCUGACGCUGAGGCACGAAAGCCAGGGGAG